AUCCUGGCUCAGAUUGAACGCUGGCGGCAGGCCUAACACAUGCAAGUCGAACGGUAGCACAGAGAGCUUGCUCUCGGGUGACGAGUGGCGGACGGGUGAGUAAUGUCUGGGAAACUGCCCGAUGGAGGGGGAUAACUACUGGAAACGGUAGCUAAUACCGCAUAAUGUCGCAAGACCAAAGAGGGGGACCUUCGGGCCUCUUGCCAUCGGAUGUGCCCAGAUGGGAUUAGCUWGUAGGUGRGGUAACGGCUCACCUAGGCGACGAUCCCUAGCUGGUCUGAGAGGAUGACCAGCCACACUGGAACUGAGACACGGUCCAGACUCCUMCGGGAGGCAGCAGUGGGGAAUAUUGCACAAUGGGCGCAAGCCUGAUGCAGCCAUGCCGCGUGUAUGAAGAAGGCCUUCGGGUUGUAAAGUACUUUCAGCGAGGAGGAAGGCGUUGUGGUUAAUAACCACARCGAU
rnacentral:rRNA from 1 species